rnacentral:rRNA from 1 species
CGAACGGGUGAGUAACGCGUGAGGAACCUGCCUCAAAGAGGGGGACAACAGUUGGAGACGACUGCUAAUACCGCAUAAGCCCACGAUCCGGCAUCGGGUAGAGGGAAAAGGAGCAAUCCGCUUUGAGAUGGCCUCGCGUCCGAUUAGCUAGUUGGUGAGGUAAUGGCCCACCAAGGCGACGAUCGGUAGCCGGACUGAGAGGUUGAACGGCCACAUUGGGACUGAGACACGGCCCAG